rnacentral:rRNA from 1 species
GACGAACGCUGGCGGCGUGCUUAACACAUGCAAAUCGAACGGUAAGGCCCUUCGGGGUACACGAGUGGCGAACGGGUGAGUAACACGUGGGUGAUCUGCCCUGCACUUCGGGAUAAGCCUGGGAAACUGGGUCUAAUACCGGAUAGGACCACUGCCUGCAUGGGUGGUGGUGGAAAGCUUUUGCGGUGUGGGAUGGGCCCGCGGCCUAUCAGCUUGUUGGUGGGGUGAUGGCCUACCAAGGCGACGACGGGUAGCCGGCCUGAGAGGGUGAACGGCCACACUGGGACGGAGAUACGGCCCAGACGCCUACGGGAGGCAGCAGUGGGGAAUAUUGCACAAUGGGCGCAAGCCUGAUGCAGCGACGCCGCGUGAGGGAUGACGGCCUUCGGGUUGUAAACCUCGUUCAGCACCGACGAAGCGCAAGUGACGGUAGGUGCAGAAGAAGGACCGGCCAACUACGUGCCAGCCGCCGCGGUAA